CAGUACUCGUAGGUACAGCCAGCAGAGUUUUUGAAAAAUUGUAACGCUUUUUUGGUGCGUUGUCCUAUCCACAACUCUGGCUGUAUUUUACGUGCUGCGUGUCCAAUGAGUGUUUACAAAACCCAUGCUGUAAAAUAUACAUAAAUAUCUUUGUCUCUUUUUAUUUUUUUUCCUCAAGGGAUUCCCCGCUACUUUACUUAUAAUAACCUCAACCAGAUUUCCUUGAGUUCUUAUGGCCUGUUGCUUCGUUAAGACGAACGUGUGAUAUUUCCGAUCAAAUACAGUUGUCAUCAUGAAAUAUUUAAUUCUUCUUCUACCAUUGGUUUAUGCCCGUAUAAACCACGAUGGCAUCACAAUCAGUAUUGAACCUGGACCCACUGAAGCAAACACCACUAUUAGAUAUGAAGGAAACGAUUUAAAGAUAUUAACAGAUAAAGAUAAAACAGCUUUUAAUCUCACUCAAGAGGCCAUUGAAAAAGCUGUCCAAGUCUACUCUGGUGAAAAAGCAACUGAUGUAUUCAUCAAAAGCCCAACACCAUGGAAUGAUCUUUAUAAAACUUAUAAAUGGAGAGAAGUGAAAAGAGAAUUCAAAAUUAAAGAUAUAAGACUGAUAAAUAUUACGCACGAAGAACGUAAUAUGUCUAUUAAAGACUUUAGAAACGAUGGAAAUGAGACUAAGGUUAUAAAAGGAGAGGUGCGAGAUGCGUACGAUUCAUUUAUCUCUAGACAUUAUUGGAGUGGUAAUAUAAAAGUGAAUGCCAGUCUUAUAUACAAUCUGACACGACCUUAUGAUCCUCCGUUGCUUUACGCAUAUUCGUCAGAUGUCGGACAAUUUUUCCUUGAAAGCGGACUCAAUUCAAUAACUAUUACUAAAACCAGAGCUAAGUUUACUUUAGAACCGAAUCAAACAGCAAAAUUCUAUGUCAAAGCCAAUCAAGUCACAGUCAGAGUUAUGGUUGAAUACGAAACCAAUUUAAUAGGAGACGUGGUUGUGAAUUAUGAGAAUAAACAUGAAGGUCAUCAUUUCUGGGCGUACGAUAUAAAUGAAGUAUUAUCCGCGUCUAAUAUGACGAGCACUGUGCGAACUAACGAAUAUGUUGAGGUUUACUAUUUACAAGAUUUUAAAACACAAAUUGUUGAUGGUUCUACUGAAAAUGACAUUCAAUUCACUAAUGGUUUUGUUAAUAAAUAGUCAUUGAAAUAUUGAAUUACCUUUA